AGUUUUCUUAUGACAAAGUGAUGUGUUCCGUUCCAAGAAUUUCCUUCCACAUUUUGGAAAAAUGCUGGAGAAUAUUUUCAUGCCAGUGUUCGAGGCCACCAUCAACCCCCAGGCUGACCCAGAACUCAGUGUCUUCCUCAAGCAUAUCACUGGCUUUGACAGUGUGGAUGAUGAGUCCAAACACAGUGGCCACAUGUUCUCCUCCAAGAGUCCCAAGCCCCAGGAGUGGACAUUGGAAAAGAAUCCAUCUUACACUUACUAUGCCUACUACAUGUAUGCAAACAUCAUGGUGCUCAACAGCCUGAGAAAGGAACGAGGCAUGAAUACAUUUCUGUUCCGACCUCACUGUGGAGAAGCUGGAGCCCUCACCCAUCUCAUGACAGCAUUCAUGAUAGCAGAUAAUAUCUCUCAUGGCCUAAAUUUAAAAAAGAGUCCUGUGCUACAGUACUUGUUUUUCUUAGCCCAAAUUCCCAUCGCCAUGUCACCACUAAGUAACAAUAGCCUAUUUCUAGAGUAUGCCAAAAAUCCUUUUUUGGAUUUCCUUCAGAAAGGGCUAAUGAUCUCACUCUCUACAGAUGACCCAAUGCAAUUCCACUUUACCAAGGAGCCCCUAAUGGAAGAAUAUGCUAUUGCUGCACAAGUCUUCAAGCUGAGCACCUGUGAUAUGUGCGAAGUGGCAAGGAACAGUGUCUUGCAGUGUGGAAUUUCUCAUGAGGAGAAAGUAAAGUUUCUGGGCGACAAUUACCUUGAGGAAGGCCCUGCUGGAAAUGAUAUCCGGAGGACAAAUGUAGCCCAAAUCCG
rnacentral:sRNA from 1 species